CCUCCAAGGAAAAGAGGGACGUCCCGCUUCUCAAUAAUAAUAAUAAUGAUAAUAAUAAUAAUGAAAUGAAGAAAGUUCAUUGGAAGUCUCCAUGUUAAAACAGGGCGGAUGUUGCCGCCGGCGCCAUUUUGGGAGAGGGAAACAGUAACCGGAAGCGCCUCCAUGUUGGAAAUGGAGGGGGGAGGGAACUCGGCGGAAACAGACCGCUCUUUUCGUGGCUCUUGGCCAAUCACAGGUCUGCUCUGCUGAAUUCCUGUUCUGAAAAGGAGGAGGAGGAAACUUUGCGUGAUGAAGGGAGAAGAGGAGAUGGAGGACAAGUCAUGAAGGUCUGAAUUCCUGCUCUGAAAAGGAGGAGGAGGAGAAGGAAGCUUCGCCAGACGAAGGGAGAAGAGGAGGUGGAGGAAAAGUCAUGA